rnacentral:misc_RNA from 1 species
AGGCAAAUCAGCGCGGAAGGGAGAUGAUUGCGUAACCGCCAGCUGGCGAUCGUUUGGUACUGCUCAGCUGUUUCGGCGCCGAAAAGACGCGUGCGAGAGUCUCGGAGUGGGAGUUCGAUGCGAUCCCAUGAUCCCGGCUAGUCAAUCAUUAGUGAGCUAAAGGAGCCGCCUAACGCCCUAGUUCACCUGCGGCGUUCGUCUCGCUAGCCACGGACGUUCGCGGCCAUACGCGAGCGGAGGUCUCCAGGC